CAGGAUGCAGAAUCACUAUCUUGAGGGGAGAAGGGGUUCAGAGCCUUCCGUAUGGUUUUUCCCAUGACAGCUGUUACCUCACAGACCAAGGACUGGGAGUUACGGCAACUGCCAAGAAAAAACAUAAAGUGAGGCAGAUCUCGUCCUAAUCCAGAGAGAAGACCAUGAAGAAGUCUCAGUAGCGACAUCGUGAAGUUGGUUGAGUGGCAGAUGAGAAAAACAUACGGUUCUCUCUGACACUCCAGGGCCUCUGCUCUGCUACUAUCCACCGUUCACCCCCAAAGACCAAGGAGCCAUGGGACCAGAAACCCCUAUAUUCCUUUGGAAUUCCGAAUUGUGUGACUGUCAAUUCUCUAGGACUUCAACCCCCUCAGCUGAAUUUAAAAGAGGCCUCGGCCAUGGAAACUAAGCCCUCACACAUCCCCUAUACUCUCAUGGAGUGAUGAGGGAGCCCUCGUUCUUGCUGUGACCCUGCCAUGACCAGGCAUCCUCCAGUCUACUUGCAGUAGUCAAGAUGGAGCGCACACACUUGGAUAAGGUGCUGACGUUUUGUGAAGACUUUACAGGAACAUCCCCUUUAACUCUCAGAAGCAGGCCACGAGGUAGGUAUUGUUAUCUCCAUUUGCAGAUGAGUGAGGUGAGGCUGAGAG